rnacentral:rRNA from 1 species
UACAGAGGUGGCAAGCGUUGUUCGGAAUUACUGGGCGUAAAGGGCGCGCAGGCGGCUCUGAAAGUCAGAUGUGAAAGCCCCGGGCUUAACCUGGGAACUGCAUUUGAUACUCUGGAGCUUGAGUACGGGAGAGGAUAGUGGAAUUCCCAGUGUAGAGGUGAAAUUCGUAGAUAUUGGGAAGAACACCAGUGGCGAAGGCGGCUCACUGGCCCGAUACUGACGCUGAGGCACGAAAGCGUGGGGAGCAAACAGG